rnacentral:rRNA from 1 species
UACAUGGGGUGCAAACGUUGCUCGGAAUUAUUGGGCGUAAAGCGCACGUAGGCGGUUUGUUAAGUCGGAUGUGAAAUCCCUCGGCUCAACUACGGAAGUGCACCCGAAACUGCUUGACUUGAGUCCCGGAGAGGAAGGCGGAAUGCUUGGUGUAGAGGUGAAAUUCGUAGAUAUCAAGCGGAACACCGGUGGCGAAGGCGGCCUUCUGGACGAGGACUGACGCUGAGACGCGAAAGCGUGGGGAGCAAACAGG